UCGAAAAGAGAGCCUAGCCCAGAGAGGGUGAGUAGGGUGUCCAGAAUGGCACAGCAGGAGAGGGACCAGGUGGGCCUCCCCGGAGCCCUGGCUGUCAACCCUCCAAGCUCACUCCAUUCCUGAGAUGGCCUGCUCCCCUCCUGGCCUUCGUGACCCUGCAGAGGAGGUGAGGGCUGGAGGUGCAGACAAGUGUCACCCAAGUCCCCAGAGCUGGACAGCACAAGAGUCAGGUGGCCUGGUGAGGUGAACCCCACGUGCACACGUGUUCCCAUGCCUAAAGAAGUUUCUAAACCAGAGGACGGGGACGUCCUGGUCACGGGUCCCUCGGAGAAGAGCUAGGAAGCUGGGCCAAGGCAGUCUCUGGCCUCAUGAAGACAUCACAAUAGUGGUCAGUCACCCA